rnacentral:rRNA from 1 species
GACGAACGCUGGCGGCGUGCUUAACACAUGCAAGUCGAACGGAAAGGCCCUGCUUUUGUGGGGUGCUCGAGUGGCGAACGGGUGAGUAACACGUGAGUAACCUGCCCUUGACUUUGGGAUAACUUCAGGAAACUGGGGCUAAUACCGGAUAGGAGCUCCUGCUGCAGGGUGGGGGUUGGAAAGUUUCGGCGGUUGGGGAUGGACUCGCGGCUUAUCAGCUUGUUGGUGGGGUAGUGGCUUACCAAGGCUUUGACGGGUAGCCGGCCUGAGAGGGUGGCCGGCCACAUUGGGACUGAGAUACGGCCCAGACUCCAACGGGAGGCAGCAGUGGGGAAUAUUGCACAAUGGGCGGAAGCCUGAUGCAGCAACGCCGCGUGCGGGAUGACGGCCUUCGGGUUGUAAACCGCUUUCGCCUGUGACGAAGCGUGAGUGACGGUAAUGGGUAAAGAAGCACCGGCUAACUACGUG